GAAGCGGAACCGGAAGGAUUCGUGGAGCGCUUAGAAGUGAGAAUGCCGGUAUGAGUAACGAAAGACGGGUGAGAAUCCCGUCCACCGAAUGCCCAAGGUUUCCUGAGGAAGGCUCGUCCGCUCAGGGUCAGUCGGGACCUAAGUCGAGGCCGAUAGGCGUAGACGAUGGACAACAGGUUGAUAUUCCUGUACCACCUCCCCGCCGUUUGAGCAAUGGGGGGACGCAGAAGGAUAAGGCGAGCGCGCCGUUGGUUGAGCGCGUCCAAGCCGUGAGGCGGGAAAUGAGGCAAAUCCCAUUUCCAUAACGUUGAGCGGUGACGGCAAGGGGCGUAUGCCCUGGAGUCCCUGAUUUCACACUGCCAAGAAAAGCCUCUAGCGAGGCGGGAGGUGCCCGUACCGCAAACCGACACAGGUAGGCGAGAAGAGAAUUCUAAGGUGAGCGAGUGAACUCUCGUUAAGGAACUCGGCAAAAUGACCCCGUAACUUCGGGAGAAGGGGUGCUCUGGUAGGGUGUUACAGCCCGAGAGAGCCGCAGUGAAUAGGCCCAGGCGACUGUUUAGCAAAAACACAGGUCUCUGCCAAACCGUAAGGUGACGUAUAGGGGCUGACGCCUGCCCGGUGCUGGAAGGUUAAGGGGAGUGCUUAGCGCAAGCGAAGGUGCGAACUGAAGCCCCAGUAAACGGCGGCCGUAACUAUAACGGUCCUAAGGUAGCGAAAUUCCUUGUCGGGUAAGUUCCGACCCGCACGAAAGGCGUAACGAUCUGGGCACUGUCUCAACGAGAGACUCGGUGAAAUUAUAGUACCUGUGAAGAUGCAGGUUACCCGCGACAGGACGGAAAGACCCCGUGGAGCUUUACUGUAGCCUGAUAUUGACUUUUGGUGCAACUUGUACAGGAUAGGUAGGAGCCUUUGAGCCCGGAGCGCCAGCUUCGGGGGAGGCGUCGGUGGGAUACUACCCUGGUUGUAUUGAAAUUCUAACCCGCACCCCUGAUCGGGGUGGGAGACAGUGUCAGGCGGGCAGUUUGACUGGGGCGGUCGCCUCCUAAAGAGUAACGGAGGCGCCCAAAGGUUCCCUCAGAAUGGUUGGAAAUCAUUCGCAGAGUGUAAAGGCACAAGGGAGCUUGACUGCGAGACGGACAGGUCGAGCAGGGUCGAAAGACGGGCUUAGUGAUCCGGUGGUUCCGCAUGGAAGGGCCAUCGCUCAACGGAUAAAAGCUCCCCCGGGGAUAACAGGCUUAUCUCCCCCAAGAGUCCACAUCGACGGGGAGGUUUGGCACCUCGAUGUCGGCUCAUCGCAUCCUGGGGCUGUAGUCGGUCCCAAGGGUUGGGCUGUUCGCCCAUUAAAGCGGUACGCGAGCUGGGUUCAGAACGUCGUGAGACAGUUCGGUCCCUAUCCGUCGCGGGCGCAGGAAAUUUGAGAGGAGCUGUCCUUAGUACGAGAGGACCGGGAUGGACACACCGCUGGUGUACCAGUUGUUCCGCCAGGGGCAUCGCUGGGUAGCUAUGUGUGGCCGGGAUAAGUGCUGAAAGCAUCUAAGCACGAAGCCCCCCUCAAGAUGAGAUUUCCCAUUGCGCAAGCAAGUAAGAUCCCUCAAAGACGAUGAGGUAGAUAGGUUCGGGGUGGAAGCGCGGCGACGCGUGCAGCUGACGAAUACUAAUCGAUCGAGGACUUAACCAA
rnacentral:rRNA from 1 species